CUGGAAUCCAAAUUUGGAACGUUUAGGCCAAAAUAGCUUAGAAAUAGUUGAAAAAUUCUACAAUUCACUUUUAAACAUCCAAUUGUAUAUAUUGCAUCAUAAUUUACUCUUUCACAAUUCAGCCAUUUAGUUUAAACAAUACUUAUUUUUUUUUUUUGUGUGUUUGGGACAGGUGAUAUGUUAACUGUUCUCCAUUCAGUGUGAG